rnacentral:lncRNA from 1 species
CGGCCGAGGAAGGGCAGAACCUCUUCAUCAGGGUUCGACGCCAAACAAACAGGUUCCUACAUUUUCUCAUGGCCGUGGACGUGAAGAUGGGGCCACCACUACUUUUUCUCUUGGUAGAGGUCGUGCUCUCUCUGGAGUGAGCCCCGUGAAUAAAGGCUCUCCUCAUUUGCAGUCAUUUGGGUCAUUCUCAGAGAAAGCUGAAAGCGUGUGCUCUCCUUUACGAUAUAGCCGGAUAAAUUCGUGCUCUCGCUGGAGUGAGCCCCAUGAAUAAAGGCUCUCCUCAUUUGCAGCCAUUUGGGUCAUUCUCAGAGAAAGCUGAAAGUGUGUCCUCUCCUUUACGAUAUAGCCGGAUAAAAAUGCUUGAUGUGUAUAGAGUGAUAGACAUGCGGUCUUGUAGCAAGUUUUCAGAUGGGAUUGUGCAAGUUCCUUCACUUACACAAGACGAACCUCUGGAACCUCUCGCAUUAUGUGCACCCAGUCUUGAGGAAUUGGUAACAUGCAGAGAGAUUUGAAUAUAUUUACUUAGUAUAACGAUUUUAUUCUGAUUUUAGUUUGUUUGGAUGAAGUC